rnacentral:rRNA from 1 species
GAUGAACGCUGGCGGCGUGCCUAAUACAUGCAAGUCGAGCGAACGGACGAGGAGCUUGCUUUUCUGAUGUUAGCGGCGGACGGGUGAGUAACACGUGUAUAACCUACCUAUAAUACUGGUAUAACUUCGGGAAACCGGAGCUAAUACCGGAUAAUAUUUUGCACCGCAUGGUUCAUAGGUGAAAGUCGGUCUUGCUGUCACUUAUAGAUGGAUCCGCGCUGCAUUAGCUAGUUGGUAAGUUAACGGCUUACCAAGGCGACGAUGCAUAGACGAACUGAGAGGGUGAUCGCCCACACUAGAACUGAGACACGGACCAGGCUCCUACGGGAGGCAGCAGUAGGGAAUCUUACGCAGUGGGCGAAAGCAUGACGGAGCAACGCCGCGUGAGAGAUGAAGGUCUCCGGAUCGUAAAGCCCUCUUAUUAGGGAAAAACAUAUGUGUACGUAACUGUGCCCAUCGUGACGGUACCUAAUCAGAAAGCAACGGCUAACUACGUG